GGGUCGAUGGUGAGACCUCAUAUUAUCUUGAAGAGAGAUGAUGACUUAAAAAUCAUGCUCUAUAGGAUUAUGCUGAGGCCC